rnacentral:rRNA from 1 species
AUGUGGGGCGAGAGGGCUCACCACAAGCAUGGGCACCAUCACGACAACGUGGGUUCCAGGGACCGGCAGCCCAAGUUCAUAGCAGACAACUACAGCUCAGUGGAUGAGGUCGUUGCUGCGUUGAGGGAAGCUGGCCUUGAAUCAUCAAAUCUGAUUCUCGGUAUUGACUUCACCAAAAGCAAUGAAUGGUCAGGUAGGCAUUCCUUUGGAAGAAAAUCUCUGCAUGCCAUUAGUGGCACCCCAAAUCCAUAUGAGCAAGCCAUCUCUAUAAUUGGGCGAACACUAUCACCUUUUGAUGAUGAUAACUUGAUACCAUGCUUUGGGUUUGGUGAUGCUUCUACACAUGAUCAUUCGGUCUUCAGCUUUUACCAAGAAAACCGUCCUUGUCGUGGUUUUGAGGAGGUUCUUGACAGAUACCGACAAAUUGUUCCACAUUUGAACCUUUCAGGACCAACUUCUUUUGCACCUCUUAUCUACGCGGCGAUGUCAGUUGUCGAAAGCAGUAACUGCCAAUAUCAUGUCCUCGUCAUCAUAGCUGAUGGGCAGGUGACCACCUCAAAUUCAAGUGCAAGAUUAAGUCCACAAGAACAGGCAACUAUACAAGCAAUUGUUGAUGCUAGCUUCUAUCCUCUUUCGAUUGUUAUGGUGGGAGUGGGCGAUGGACCAUGGGAUGCAAUGCAGCAUUUUGAUGACUGUAUUCCUGACAGAGCUUUUGACAAUUUCCAGUUCGUGAACUUUACUGGUCUCAUGUCAACAAGCAAGGAUAUGUCGAAGAAGGAGGCCGCAUUUGCACUUGCAGCGCUGAUGGAAAUACCCACCCAAUACAAAGCGACUCAAGGCCUCCGACCUCCAGAGAGGCACGCACAAAAUCCCAACCCUCCAAGGAUCCUUCCCCCUCCCAGCAAAGUUCUUGAACAUGACAAUAUUGCCGCAGCUUCCCGUGCUCCAGACGCAACCUCCCAGUCAACCGACGUUGGCUACACCGCUUCGGAUGAAAAGGUAUGUCCCAUCUGCUUAACGAAUCCAAAGGACAUGGCCUUCCAAUGCGGCCAUCUGACAUGCAAGGAAUGCGGGCCGACGCUAUCGACAUGCCCCUUGUGCCGCGCGCCGAUCACUGUCCGUGUGAGGCUCUUUUCAUAA